UUUGUGCAUAGUUUUAGAAGUUUCUGGAG
rnacentral:piRNA from 1 species